UCCUCACCGCAUCGCCACCCCGACCCCCUCCCCUUUCUCCUCGCCGUCUUCUCUCUCGCGACGCCGCACCCUCCCCGCCAGCCCCUCGCUUCCUUCUCCACCUUCUCACGCUCCCUCCCCAACCGAUCCAAGAUACGGAAACAAUCCUCCUCUCCCCCUCGAUCGAUCGAUUCCGACCGGCCGCGGCGGUGAUGGAUCUCUCCGGCGGGGCCGGCGGCGGCGCGACGCUGUCGGAGAUGUACCAGAGCACGCGGCGGCUGCAGGGAAAGGGAGCCGCCGCGACCCAGCACCGGCGGGCUCCCCUCGCUCUCCGAGCUGGGAGGUAGUCUGCUUCUCCACGGUCGCGCGCUCGCGCCGGUAGAGGAGCCACCCUGCUUCUUCUCCGGCAACGACGCGGCCGUGCCCUCCGACGCCUCUCGUCCGCGUCCGGUGCCGUACAAGAGAUGCUGACUGCUGUCGUCCUCCGAUCCUACUAGCCGCAGCCGCCCCGCCCCCGCCUCCGAGGUCAAGGUCGACGCGGUGGAGAACGAGGAGGUCAUCGUGCACGCCCUGCAGGAGGAGCUCGCGCAGGUCGCCAUGGCCUACAGCGGGGAGGCCGAGCGCCAUGCCACCGUCCUCGCGCAGCAGUGGUUCCGUCCCGAGGUCGUCAGAGCAAUAUUCCUCGUACAAAGCUGGUGGAGUACAAGGGGCACCAGAACUGGGUUAAUGUCUCGGGGAGCACCUGGAGCACCUGGUCUUUCUGGGAGGCGGAACUCAGUUCAAGCAUGGUGCUCUGCACUACAUUGAUUUCAUUCAGGAGGCAAAGAAAGAUGUGGCAUGGGGAAAACUGACCUGUGUAGUUCUAGACGCAGGCAAAGAAAGAUGUGGCAUGAGGCCAGAGGUGGCCGGAUCUGGCAAAGGUCCUCCCCUCCUCACCAUCUCCGUUGCUGGGCCAGGGUUCCGCCGAUCCCCCAAGGUGCAGCUCCCGGCCAUGGGGAAGCGCCAGCAGCCGGAGGCGGCCGAGCAGCCCAUGGCGCCGGUGCGAGGCCCUGCCCUCCUCACCAUCUUGUGAAUGGUGCAGGCCCCGAAGCGAGGCGGCAAGGCGCCGGUGUUGCGAAGAAGAAGGCGGCGUACAAGGUGGUGAACCCGCUGUUCGAGAAGAGGCCGAAGCAGUUUGGAAUCGGUGGCGCCCUGCCGCACAAGAAGGCCCAAGAAGGACCUCCACUGGUUCGUCAAGUGGCCCGAGGUCGUGCGCAUCCAGCGCCAGCGCCGCAUCCUCAAGCAGCGCCUCAAGGUGCCCUGGCACUCCACUAGUUCACCCGUACCCUCGACAAGAACCUCGAUGCACAGGAGCUCUACGAAGAAGAACCCCGAAGAAAAACCACACCCAGCAAUGCGUUUUAGCCCACUGGAGCUAGUUAUGUGUAUAUUUAGUUGUAUUUUAUAGCUGAAAACCAGAUCUGUACUAUGUAUGAUUGUAAUGUACUUUGCUUGGCUGUUGUAUAAAAUAUGAUGCCUUAUUGGCUCCU